rnacentral:misc_RNA from 1 species
AAGACUAUAGACCUGCGGAGUACCUGCGGAGGGAUCAUUAUAGAGUGGUAAACCCCCCGUAAAAGGGGGGGACCUCCUGUCCUUUGUAGGCUCUUUUUUAAAAGGGCUUUUUUUAAUUUUCUGCUUCGGUGGGGUUAUCCCACCGGAACAACCUCAAAACUCUUAUCAAAAAAUCGUUCUGUCUGAGAACCUUUUAUAAUAAAAAAAAACUUUCAGCAAUGGAUCUCUAGAUCGGAAGAG